UUAAAAGUAAUGAUGGGAAUAGUAAAUACAUUUGGGUAGUAAAAGAGAGCCAGGAUAGGUGAAAGCUGGUACUAUCAAAUUUAUUGAAGAUGGCCCCUGAACUGCAUGGCUGAGGCUUCUGCUUAGGUUAUGCCGGUGUUGCGUCCGUUAUGUGUGCAAGGUGAUAGAAGUCACCUACCGAGGUUAUUGUCGUGAGAUAAUAAUAAAUUAGGGUGGUAGCGCGAGUACAAUCUCGUCCCUUUU
rfam:Geosporobacter ferrireducens strain IRF9, complete genome.